rnacentral:rRNA from 1 species
CGGAGGGGCUAGCGUUGUUCGGAAUUACUGGGGCGUAAAGCGCACGUAGGCGGACUGGAAAGUUGGGGGUGAAAUCCCGGGGCUCAACCUCGGAACUGCCUUCAAACUAUCAGUCUGGAGUUCGAGAGAGGUGAGUGGAAUUCCGAGUGUAGAGGUGAAAUUCGUAGAUAUUCGGAGGAACACCAGUGGCGAAGGCGGCUCACUGGCUCGAUACUGACGCUGAGGUGCGAAAGCGUGGGGAGCAAACAGGAUU